rnacentral:rRNA from 1 species
AACGUAGGACGCAAGCGUUAUCCGGAGUUACUGGGCGUAAAGCGCUAGUAGGCGGCUCGACAAGUUCGAUGUGAAAGCGCCCGGCUCAACCGGGCGAGGCCAUUGGAAACUAUCGAGCUGGAGGGCAGUAGAGGCAGGCGGAAUUCCGGGUGGAGUGGUGAAAUGCGUAGAGAUCCGGAGGAACACCAGAGGCGAAGGCGGCCUGCUGGGCUGAACCUGACGCUGAGCCGCGAAAGCCAGGGGAGCGAACGGG